ACCGCGGUAGCCCAGUUGGUUAGGGCGUCGGCAGUACUGAUGUCGAAGGUCGCAGGUUCAAGCAAGGUUCAAAUCCUGCCUGCGGUG